GUGCCAGCAGCCGCGGUAAUACGUAGGGGGCCAGCGUUGCUCGGAAUUACUGGGCGUAAAGGGUUCGUAGGUGGUGCGGUAAGUUGGGAGUGAAAUCUCUGGGCUUAACUCAGGGGCUGCUUUCAAAACUGCCGUGCUCGAGUGCGAGAGAGGUCAGUGGAAUUGCAGGUGUAGCGGUGAAAUGCGUAGAUAUCUGCAGGAACACCCGUGGCGAAGGCGGCUGACUGGAUCGCAACUGACACUGAGGAACGAAAGCUAGGGGAGCAAACAGGAUUAGAUACCCUGGUAGUCC
rnacentral:rRNA from 1 species